rnacentral:rRNA from 1 species
UGCGUAACGCGUAGGUAAUCUGCCCUGAGGUCUGACAUAACCCGUCGAAAGGCGGGCUAACAUCAGAUGAUAUAUAAUCACGACAUCGUGGAAAUAUCAAAUCUUCGGAGCCUUGGGAUGAGCCUGCGUCUGAUUAGGUAGUUGGCGGAGUAAUAGCCCACCAAGCCUACGAUCAGUAGCUGGUCUGAGAGGAUGAUCAGCCACACUGGAACUGAGACACGGUCCAGACUCCUACGGGAGGCAGCAGUAAGGAAUAUUGCUCAAUGGGGGAAACCCUGAAGCAGCAACGCCGCGUGAAGGAUGAAAUACUUUUGUAUGUAAACUUCUGUAAGAUGGGAAAAAUAUUCUCCUCGGGAGAAUUGAUUGUACCAUCAGAGUAAGCCCCGGUUAACUACGUG